AUUUAAGGAAAAGUACAGUCAGUGUCGCCAUAAUGUAUGUCAGAACAGUAAAGGCACAAGGUGUCACUUUUGGUUAUUUUUAAUUAAUUGAAAAUGAAUAAUGCAGUAACAUGAAAUACAUUAUUUACAAGCUUUCAUCUUACGAGAGGAUUCAAAGCGUAUUUCAGAUGCAAUUAUUUAUAGCAGGGGUAUUUGCAUAAUCAAAAGCCAGUGGAGCACAGAGAUAUCGAAAAGGAAAGGCAGGCAGGCAGUCAGCUUGGUUUAGCCGUAUACUGUAAAGCUGCCAUUCAUCCGUAUGCAGCCAGCCUAGCUAUUGUUAACGCCAAUGCUCACAACAUCAGUCAUAUUAAUCUUGUGGCCGACAGAAUUUCUGCUGUGUGUUGUUAGCAUCAAUGGCAUUAGCAAUUAAGAUGACAUAAGUGCAAUGUAGCUAGCUAGCAUUAGCAUCUUUGUAGAAGUCUGCUGAACAUUAUAUGGGAUGGGUAGAGAGAUAUGUUGGAAAAACGCAAAUCAACAAAUGUUUACUAUUUUGUCCUUUAAUAUGUUUGCGCCGAUAUGUUUUUAAAAAUGUAUUUUAUACAUGUAGGCUACAGUAUGUAUUAUCUACGUCCAUUAUCUGUGUGUAAGUAACAAUGUGUGGUUAUGAGACAAACUAAAAUGUUUUAUGCAAGUUUGGAUGUUACUGUACAAUAGGCUUUGUUCCUCAUUCAUUUUAGUGUCCUUCAAUCCAUUCAACGUUUUGCUCAAACAAUACCAUAAUUAUAUAUGUCCCAUUCACACUUCCCAUUAACAAACAAACCCAUCAUAAAAACACAUUUGGUGUGGGAGCUUACAAUACACUGACUGUCAUUAACGUCCUAUUAAGCCGACAUUGAUCCAGUCAUGUUCAGAAGGUAAUGGCAUGGACAGUGAGACAUAGCUAAUGUACUGGUAGGAGUGAGACCAUGUCUGUGACCACCUCCAUGCAGGCUGCUAAAGGGAGGGGCACUGUGGCAGAGCACAACAUGUCCACUCCUCACAACGACGCUCAAGUGGCAAUGCAUGAUUUCAUUAAAAAGGGCCCAACCAUGACAUUCAACAAUGGAUUAUUAGCCCAUAUUAUGGCUGGCUGAUCGUUUAUCAGCAAGGAUGCAGGGGGCUGACCACAUCCUUAUAAACGGUGAACCAGUGGAAAGAGGAGUCAAUAAUUAUUUGGUGUGUGUAUGUGUGUGACAUGCAAAAAGCAGGAGAUGCACUGAAAUGCACUGCAAUGUCAUAUGUUUGAUGCAGAUUGAAACAGCAUCUAAAGGGGCAGGCUGUCGUCACUGUGUAAGAUGAGCAGCCAUACCUACUGAUGUGGUCCACAUAGCUUUGGUCACUGCCUGCCAGAUUGCACUUGUAUUAUUACAACAUGAGCCCUCUGCACAGAAAGAAGGCACAUAAAAAAAACGGGCACGCUGGGCUGGUGUAAAAUAUGCUGAUUGCUCG
rnacentral:lncRNA from 1 species